UUGAUAUGAACUGUGAAUACUGAUUAAAGGGCUGAUAAUUUAUUGAAACAAAUGGCUUCUGUGUAUUAAUGGAGUUUGAUUACAUUCUAAAUGUAUUCUUGGGGUUUACGAGAAACCUUUUUCGAAGAGAAGAUUCUAGGGUUUUACAUAUGCUCCUCGAUUUUAAGGUACAAUUCAAUGGCUGUUGAAAGAUUGUUUUUUUUUUUUUCAGAAUCACCAGCUUAUCAAAACCAUUUGUUCGGUUCUUUGAUAGAUCAUAUUCGAGAUGUAGUAAUAGCGUGCGCCGCAAAAUUGUGUCUACUACAAAUACAGUGUGUCUUAUUCUAGACGAAUGUGAAGUGAUUGAAUUUAUUUUAAUUGUUGAAAUGUUUGAAUUGCUAUUCGUAAUUUCUGCAUCGAUAUUUUUCUUCAUUUUCGAGACACGGUGAUGGAAAAAAUGCCUUCUUGCAGCUCUGUAAAAUCUAACAAUUUGAUCGAAUUGAUUUUCAUUUAUUGAAAUGUUUGAAUUGCUAUUCGUAAUUUCUGCAUCGAUUUUUUUCUUUCACUUUCGAGACACAGUGAUGGAAACAAUGCCUUCUUGCUGCCUGCAAAAUCUAACAAUUCUAUUGAACUGAUUUUAAUUAUUGAAAUUUUUGAAUUGCUAUUCGUCAUCUCUGCAUCAAUAUUUUUUUUGCUUUCAUUUUCGAGAUACGGUGAUGGACAAAAUGCCUUCUUUGCAGCUCUGUAAAAUCUAACAAUUAGAUCGAGCAUUUUAAUUAUUGAAAUGUUUGAAUUGCUAUUCAUAAUUUCUGCAU
rnacentral:lncRNA from 1 species